rnacentral:rRNA from 1 species
UACAGAGGUCUCGAGCGUUGUUCGGAUUCAUUGGGCGUAAAGGGUGCGUAGGUGGCGCUGUAAGUCGGGUGUGAAAUCCUGGGGCUUAACCCCGGAACUGCAUUCGAUACUGCCGUGCUUGAGGACUGGAGAGGAGACUGGAAUUUACGGUGUAGCAGUGAAAUGCGUAGAUAUCGUAAGGAAGACCAGUGGCGAAGGCGGGUCUCUGGACAGUUCCUGACACUGAGGCACGAAGGCCAGGGGAGCAAACGGG